AAUGGAGGAAACUCUGAUGCAGCGAUGCCGCGUGAGUGAAGAAGGCCCUUGGGUUGUAAAGCUCUUUCGUCGGGGAAGAAAAUGACUGUACCCGAAUAAGAAGGUCCGGCUAACUUCGUGCCAGCAGCCGCGGUAAUACGAAGGGACCUAGCGUAGUUCGGAAUUACUGGGCUUAAAGAGUUCGUAGGUGGUCGAAAAAGUUGGUGGUGAAAUCCCAGAGCUUAACUCUGGAACUGCCAUCAAAACUUUUCAGCUAGAGUUUGAUAGAGGAAAGCAGAAUUUCUAGUGUAGAGGUGAAAUUCGUAGAUAUUAGAAAGAAUACCAAUUGCGAAGGCAGCUUUCUGGAUCAAUACUGACACUGAGGAACGAAAGCAUGGGUAGCGAAGAGGAUU
rnacentral:rRNA from 1 species